rnacentral:rRNA from 2 species
GUUAGUGUUGGCGCACGAAUCUUCACAUGUUGCCGGACAAUGCAAAUAACUUUAGUCCUAUUUUCGUUGGUUUAGGUACUUCAGUAAUGAUGAAUAGAAACGGUUAGGGGCAUUUGUAUUUGGUCGCUAGAGGUGAAAUUCUUGGAUUGACCGAAGACAAACUACUGCGAAAGCAUUUGACCCGGGACGUUUUCAUUGAUCAAGGUCUAAAGUUAAGGGAUCGAAGACGAUUAGAUACCGUCGUAGUCUUAACCACAAACUAUGCCGACUAGAGAUUGGGCGUGUUUAUUAUGACUCGCUCAGCAUCUUAGCGAAAGUAAAGUUUUUGGGUUCUGGGGGGAGUAUGGGACGCAAGGCUGAAACUUAAAGAAUUGACGGAA